rnacentral:misc_RNA from 1 species
GGAAGUAAACGUCGUAACAAGGUUUCCGUAGGUGAACCUGCGGAAGGAUCAUUCAUAAUAAAGUGUUUUAUGGCACUUUUUAAAAAUCCAUAUCCACCUUGUGUGCAAUGUUAGAUCUCGUCAAUCUUGGCGAGAUUUUUAUACAUCAACUCAUUCUUUAACUAAUUUGUCUGAAAAAUAUUAUGAAUACUUAAUUCAAAAUACAACUUUCAACAACGGAUCUCUUGGCUCUC